AUGACGGGGGUGGAGCUGGUUGGUUUGCAAUUGGCAGCAUCUCCGAUCCUGAAGAAGCUCCUCGCGGAUGCUUCAACAUACCUUGGGGUUGACAUGGCGAGCGAGCUCCAUGAACUGGAGAUCACCAUCAUGCCGCAGUUCGAGCUGAUGAUUGAAGCAGCUAACAAGGGCAAUCACAGGGUCAAGUUGGACAAAUGGGUCCAGGAGCUCAAAGAAGCCUUCUACAAAGCUGAAGAUCUGCUGGACAUGCACGAGUAUGACCUCCUCGACCGCAAAGCAAAGAGUGGGAGAGAGUCCUCGCCACCCCGUGCCUCAUCAAUCAGGACUAUUUUGAAGCCUCUGCGUGCUGCUUCUAACAGGCAGGGAGUUGCGUGA
rnacentral:rRNA from 1 species